rnacentral:rRNA from 1 species
UGCAGAAUCCCGUGAACCAUCGAGUCUUUGAACGCAAGUUGCGCCCGAAGCCAUUUGGUUGAGGGCACGUCUGCCUGGGCGUCACGU